CUCGCAGAAAAAAUGUUUACACCAUAAAAAUAACAGUUUUAAAUAAUUAUAAAGGUGCCAGAACUAGGUGAACAUGAGCCUCCCCUUUCCUACCUUAACCAUAAAAAGGGGGAAGGGGGUAAAAAUACUUUUUUUUUCUUUUUGUAGACGUGUAGUUUCAAGUCUUUUUUUUUUUAUUGUCGAUAGCAUCUCAUUUUCUCUAUUCACUGCUUACUUUUGGAUGUAAAUGUGAAUUAAGAUUUAAAUAAAUGAAAUGAAGCUUUGAAAUGGUCACCUGUAUUAGUCAUCGUAUUACACACUUGUAUACUCUAGUUACUGUACUAGACGUAAAAUAACUUGCUUUAAGGAAAAUGACUUGUUCAUUGAAUUUAACGCAUGGGAAUGUUUUGUGUAUGAAAUACACUAACUACUAUAUACUUAAUGUAACCUUUCAUUUUAAUAUAAACGCGAUUGUUUUCUAUUAAUCACAACACUACUAUACAUAUCACAAUAAUUGUAAACCAUGUUGAGAUAUUUGUAUAGUACAUUUUGCACUUAUACGAUGAAAUGUUUUAAAGAAACAGAAGGGUUGGGUCGGUUAGCAUUGGACAGAGGUAGAGAUAUUUUAAAAGUAAAACAUGAAACUUUCAACAUGUUCAAAUUAAGCGGCUUAUUUGUAACACCUUUCGGAGUCCCCCUUAUCAAUAGUCCGUCACAUAUGUAAUUUAUAGAAACAUGUCUCACCAAAUAAAUUUGUUCAAAUUGUAUCACGGCCAAACAUGAUUAAAAAAAAUAUAUAAUUAAACCUGUGUUUUUCUUCAGAUAAGGUAGGGAAGGUUGACUAGUGUAUAGAAAUAGAUUGACAGGCACAAUUUGAUGGUUUCUAAAAAAAUGAUAUCCAGUUGAAAAAUAAAGUAAGUCGAGCUGAGAGUUACAAAAGUCGAGUUCCGUGUCAUAAAAGUCGAGUUGCGAGUUACGGAAGUCUAGUUGUGAGUUGAUAAAGUCUUGUUGGUAGUUAGAAAAGUAUAAAAUCUUUGAAAUAUAAAUGAUUUAUAUUUAACAAAUAAGUGGACGGGUACGCAGUCUAAAAGCUUUUUUUUCGAGGCGGCAGUCGGAGUAUCUAGACAGAACUGUUAUCAAUAAGGAUAGGAGUCGAAUACAUUUUGCUACGCUUAAAAUUCGAGUGUUGCUGAUCAAUGUUGAAUAAUCCGAUCUCCAAGGGACUCCAAGGCCCUUGGAAAUUAACAAAAAUACGGAAAAUCAGUAUUCUGAUAGUUUUUUUUUUCGAAGCUCUACUUUCGGUAUAUAAAUAAAGUACUAAGACUAGUAACAAUAUCGGCAGAUAAUGCAUUUUGUAUACAAAGGAAUCAACA
rnacentral:lncRNA from 1 species